rnacentral:rRNA from 1 species
UGGGGAAUUUUGGACAAUGGGCGAAAGCCUGAUCCAGCAAUGCCGCGUGCAGGAGGAAGGCCCUCGGGUUGUAAACUGCUUGUGUACGGAACGAAAAGCCUGGGGCUAAUAUCCCCGGGGCAUGACGGUACCGUAAGAAUAAGCACAGGCUAACUACGUGCCAGCAGCCGCGGUAAUACGUAGGGUGCAAGCGUUAAUCGGAAUUACUGGGCGUAAAGCGUGCGCAGGCGGUUUUGUAAGACAGUGGUGAAAUCCCCGGGCUCAACCUGGGAACUGCCAUUGUGACUGCAAGGCUAGAGUGCGGCAGAGGGGGAUGGAAUUCCGCGUGUAGCAGUGAAAUGCGUAGAUAUGCGGAGGAACACCGAUGGCGAAGGCAAUCCCCUGGGCCUGCACUGACGCUCAUGCACGAAAGCGUGGGGAGCAAACAGG